GAGUUUGAUCCUGGCUCAGGAUGAACGCUGGCGGCGUGCCUAAUACAUGCAAGUCGAACGCUUCACUUCGGUGAAGAGUGGCGAACGGGUGAGUAAUACAUAAGUAACCUGGCAUCUACAGGGGGAUAACUGAUGGAAACGUCAGCUAAGACCGCAUAGGUGUAGAGAUCGCAUGAACUCUAUAUGAAAAGUGCUACGGGACUGGUAGAUGAUGGACUUAUGGUGCAUUAGCUGGUUGGUGGGGUAACGGGCCUACCAAGGCGACGAUGCGUAGCCGACCUGAGAGGGUGACCGGCCACACUGGGACUGAGACACGGCCCAGACUCCUACGGGAGGCAGCAGUAGGGAAUUUUCGGCAAUGGGGGAAACCCUGACCGAGCAACGCCGCGUGAAGGAAGAAGUAAUUCGUUAUGUAAACUUCUGUCAUAGAGGAAGAACGGUGGAUAUAGGGAAUGAUAUCCAAGUGACGGUACUCUAUAAGAAAGCCACGGCUAACUACGUGCCAGCAGCCGCCGU
rnacentral:rRNA from 1 species